rnacentral:rRNA from 1 species
GACGAGGGAUCCUAGCGUUGUUCGGAAUUAUUGGGCGUAAAGCGUGUGUAGGCGGCCUUUCAAGUCAGGUGUGAAAGCCCCGGGCUCAACCCGGGAAGUGCAUCUGAUACUGCUUGGCUUGAGUACUGGAGAGGAUAGUAGAAUUCCUGGUGUAGUGGUGAAAUACGUAGAUAUCAGGAGGAAUACCGGUGGCGAAGGCGGCUAUCUGGCCAUGUACUGACGCUGAGACACGAAAGCGUGGGGAGCAAACAGG